ACGACACUGUUCAAAAAGCGAACUGAACCCACCUUCUCAAACUCACACCCUCUCAAUUUGGAAUCAUUUCUUGAAUGUCCUGCCCUUCUAAUCCUCAUGAGUUCUCCUGACUAAGCAAAUUAAGAGAGUCCAUAGCGAUCACGUCUUUGACCUUUUCCUCCUUCAAAUUCAAUUCCUUCCCCUCAAUAAACCCUCCCCAAUUUCCCCUCUCUACUUCCAUAGCUCUCCUUCGGGCCCGUUUUGGUUCGCUUCCUCGCUCUUUCAUUACUUCCUUGCCUUGAAAUCGGUUCCAGUUCUUUUGUCUAAUGGAGUUAUCGGGUAAAAUUAACCGUCAUAUUCCGUCAAGAAGUGGAAAAUUUGAUGCAAGAAACUAUAAUGAAAAUCACGCAGGGGAUAGCAGCUUUGAUGGCGAGAUCGAGAUAAAAGAUAGAAACUUUAACGGUGAUCGACAAUUAAAUAGAGAAGAAGUUGGAGAUUAUGUUAUGAAUUCCUCAAGAACUUACAUGGAUGAUUUGUCUGAAAUCGAGAUUGAGAAAAGAGAGAUUUUUAUGGAAGAAGGCAGAAGAAGCAAUUCGAAUUCAUCGACAAAAAACGAAGCAAAGCAGUUGGAACAGAGACUCGAGACGGAGGUCAUUGAUUUUUCUGAAGCAAUUUGUAAUCUUGAACCAGAAGCAAUUUGCAAUUUUGAACCAGGGUCUAAUCAGGAGGUUGGUUGUUGAAUCACAUGGGCGAUUUUCAUUAGAGGAGGAAAUUUUUUGACAUGAUACAAACUACUAGAGGAGGCGAAGAUAGAAUGGAAAAAGCCAAAUGUCGAACAAGUCACCAACAUUUUCGAUGCCAGAGCCUCAGCAAUUAAGCGACUAUUUACAGGUUUUAGAGGAAACCUGAAAGCACAAGAGGGAGACGUCCAGAUCCAUAGAUACUCUGCUCUGCUCUUUUAUUUACAAAAAACCAUAUUGAAAGAAGACUCAAAGAAGAGCAAGGAGAAGAAGAGGAAAAUGCUCUCCUCUUCUGGAGAUGGAAGUGGGCUCACGGUGAUAGACCUAAUCGCGAAGAGUGAGGUUUUGACAUAAGGAGCCAAGUUUGCAGGGUCCUAAUAUCCGGACCAGUUUUCAUAACAGUGCAGAAGUGGGUUCACAAUGCCAUACCGGAAGACCAGUAGACCUGCAUCAGGGCCGCUGGCUGAGCCAUUAGCACCGACGAGGACAGGGGAGAUAAAGAUACCUUAUCUCAGCCUCAGAGACCUCAACAUUUACAUAGGGCCACAAGUAGGGGUGCAAGUUUGCCCUAAUCCCGAACAAGUACCGAUCCAAAAAUUUUGGCCCUGAGGGCCUUGAAAUUUUUGACCUUGAGUCAGGGUCAGGGCGGGUAAGGGUUGAUGUCUUUGGCCCGCCCAGCCCGCCUUGAAUCCGACCCUGUUUUUUGGCCCUGACUUUUGGCCCUGGUUUUGGCCUACCCGACACUGAUUUUCCCCAAUGUUGACCCUAGGUAAGACCCUAGUUGUAACCCUGAUUUUAACUUAAUUUUAUAUAUUAUUUCAUAUUGAGUUAAACUCCUAAUAUAACAUAUCUUCUCACAAUCUCACUGAUAUCCCUUACCAUUUUUACCAAUAAAAAAUAUCUUUUUCCCUUUUUCUACCAACAAAAAAGAGAAUACCUAUCUUCCUCACCUUCUGCCGCAAAACUUCUUUGCAUCUCUGGCUCUCUACGUUUCAUCAAAAAAGAUAAAAAAGUCUCUAGCUCUCUACAUGGUCUGAGGAAUCACAUUCACUAGUAACUCUCUCUCUCUCUCUCUCUCUCUCUCUCUCUCUCUCUCUCUCUCUCUCUCUCUCUCUCUCUCUCUCUCUCUCUCUCAUUAGGUGAUUGUUUCUACUAUUUUGUGUGAGCCGUAUUUAAAUCCUUAUGUAUUCUACCUAUUCUGUGUGGGCAGUAAUGUGCUUUUACUUUCUGUAUAUGCAAUACAUAAUUAUAUCUGUAUCAAUGAGAUAUUCAUCAAAAAAGCAAAAAGAGUUUAC